UACGUAGGGUCCGAGCGUUAAUCGGAAUUACUGGGCGUAAAGCGUGCGCAGGCGGUUUUGUAAGCCAGAUGUGAAAUCCCCGGGCUUAACCUGGGAAUGGCAUUUGGGACUGCAAAGCUGGAGUACGGCAGAGGGAGGUGGAAUUCCGCGUGUAGCAGUGAAAUGCGUAGAUAUCUGCAGGAACACCCGUGGCGAAAGCGGCGCGCUGGACCACUACUGACGCUGAGGAACGAAAGCUAGGGGAGCAAACAGG
rnacentral:rRNA from 1 species